ACGAACGCUGGCGGCGUGCUUAACACAUGCCCGUCGAGCGGAAAGGCCCUUCGGGGUACUCGAGCGGCGAACGGGUGAGUAACACGUGAGUAACCUGCCCCAGACUUUGGGAUAACCCUCGGAAACGGGGGCUAAUACCGGAUACGACACAGCUUCGCAUGGGGUCUGUGUGGAAAGUUUUUCGGUUUGGGAUGGGCUCGCGGCCUAUCAGCUUGUUGGUGGGGUGAUGGCCUACCAAGGCGACGACGGGUAGCCGGCCUGAGAGGGCGACCGGCCACACUGGGACUGAGACACGGCCCAGACUCCUACGGGAGGCAGCAGUGGGGAAUAUUGCACAAUGGGCGGAAGCCUGAUGCAGCGACGCCGCGUGAGGGAUGACGGCCUUCGGGUUGUAAACCUCUUUCAGCAGGGACGAAGCGUAAGUGACGGUACCUGCAGAAGAAGCGCCGGCCAACUACGUG
rnacentral:rRNA from 1 species